UUCAAGUUAUUCGAUUUCACCUAUGACGUUUUGCUGGAGUGGUUAUGUUCCAUGUUUUGUUGGUACCGGUCCGGGUUCGACCCCCAGCUUCAAGACAAUUCACGCGUGUAUUUCGAAGAAAGAUCAUAUCAAGAUCCAAUGUUUUUAAAAAUAAAGUGGUUUGAUUUUAUGAUUUGGUUUGUUUUUUGCCUAUUGAUACUUUUCUGUGAUGGAUGUUAUGUGUAAAUAGACCAUGUUCAUCGCAUUGGUAGGUCAUAAUAAAAGGCUUUACUGUA